rnacentral:tRNA from 1 species
CGUAGCUCAGCGGCAGAGCUCCCGACUGUUAAUCGGGCGGUCGUUGGUUCGAAUCCAACC